rnacentral:snRNA from 1 species
GUGCUCGCUUCAGCAGCACAUAUACUAAAAUUGGAACGAUACAGAGAUUAGCAUGGCCCCUGCACAAGGAUGACACAAAAAUAUUAAAAACAAAAAAAAAAGUA